UGGACCAGUGGUGGCGACUGAUGGCAUAGGAAUUGUGUGGUGAAUACUAUGUGUCUGGAACUCUGAGGUCCAC
ensembl:snoRNA